ensembl:lncRNA
ACAGUGGGAGCUCACCCCAUUUCCCGGAUUUGAACCACCAACCGUUCGGUCAGCAAGUUCAGCAGCUCAGCGGUUUAACCAGCUGCACCACCGGAGGCUCCUUGUGACAUAAUGUGCAUUUAACCAAGAACACUGAACAAAAUACAUCAGUGGGAAGGUGCCCGGGAUGAGGACACCCAGAAAGUGAGCAACAUGGAAAAGGAAGGCGUUGUUUCUUGUCUUUCUCAAACAUGAUCACUUCUGCUACCUUGGGCAGAUGUGACCGUGAAUCCCCAAAGACCAGCAGAUAAAAACUCUUCCUGGAGAUCGCUGGAAGCACCUUCUACAUUAUUGAGCAGAGGAAGCAGACCUGAGCAGCCCUCGGGCAAAAACAGUGUAUCAGUCCCUGUGCCAUCAGGCAUUGUGUUACCUGUCCAGAUGCAGUAAGCUCAUUUUCUUUUGGAAUAUUUUUGUUAGAAACUGUAAAACUUUGGAAUUAGAAAAGUAACUUUGCCAUGACUCGAAAACAGGUAAGUCAAUGAAACAAAAAACAGGCACAACUACUUUCUGAAAAGAGUGAUGGGGAGAGAGUUGCCCCCUUCAUGAAAGAAACUAAGCCCAGUGUUUGAUUUCUGCUGUACAUGUGGAUUUGUAACUCUGCUUAAUUACCCUUUGCCACUGCUUCUCAAUGUUAUCCCCUUCCUUAUACUUUAAGGGGGUCUAUAUGUCUUAAAAGCACCAGAUCCCAUCUGAUCUUGGAACCUAAGCAGGGCCAACUCUCGU